rnacentral:tRNA from 1 species
GCGAUUAUGGCUCAGUGGUACAGUCUUGCCUAGCAUGCAUGAGGCACUGGGUUCAAUCCCCAGCAACACA